rnacentral:rRNA from 1 species
AACGAACGCUGGCGGCAGGCCUAACACAUGCAAGUCGAGCGGACCUUUCGGGGUCAGCGGCGGACGGGUGAGUAACGCGUGGGAAUAUGCCCUUCUCUACGGAAUAGUCCUGGGAAACUGGGGGUAAUACCGUAUACGCCCUUUGGGGGAAAGAUUUAUCGGGGAAGGAUUAGCCCGCGUUGGAUUAGGUAGUUGGUGGGGUAAUGGCCUACCAAGCCGACGAUCCAUAGCUGGUUUGAGAGGAUGAUCAGCCACACUGGGACUGAGACACGGCCCAGACUCCUACGGGAGGCAGCAGUGGGGAAUCUUAGACAAUGGGGGCAACCCUGAUCUAGCCAUGCCGCGUGAGUGAUGAAGGCCUUAGGGUUGUAAAGCUCUUUCAGCUGGGAAGAUAAUGACGGUACCAGCAGAAGAAGCCCCAGCUAACUCCGUG